rnacentral:rRNA from 1 species
GGCUCAGGACGAACGCUGGCGGCGUGCUUAACACAUGCAAGUCGAACGAUGAAGCCCUUCGGGGUGGAUUAGUGGCGAACGGGUGAGUAACACGUGGGCAAUCUGCCCUUCACUCUGGGACAAGCCCUGGAAACGGGGUCUAAUACCGGAUACCACUCCUGCCUGCAUGGGCGGGGGUUGAAAGCUCCGGCGGUGAAGGAUGAGCCCGCGGCCUAUCAGCUUGUUGGUGGGGUAAUGGCCCACCAAGGCGACGACGGGUAGCCGGCCUGAGAGGGCGACCGGCCACACUGGGACUGAGACACGGCCCAGACUCCUACGGGAGGCAGCAGUGGGGAAUAUUGCACAAUGGGCGAAAGCCUGAUGCAGCGACGCCGCGUGAGGGAUGACGGCCUUCGGGU